rnacentral:lncRNA from 1 species
CCACUCAUGUGGUUUCGCACUUUUUCGCUUUACUACCCUGUGAUUUAAAGUGUAUUAAUUUAGCACCCUAUGGUUUUGCACUUUCUCACUUUAAUAUCCUGUAGUUUAAAAUGCAUUAAUUUAGUACACUGUGGUUUCAUUUUUCUCUUUUCGUCGGCUUCUCUGUUAAUAUUUUGUUAAAUUAUAUACAAAAAAAACCUCAGACACCCUACUUAGCUUUAUCGAAUAUUUACUUUAGUACCCUUUAGUUUUAACUUUGUCGCUGAUUUUUUUUUCCUCCAUUAAUAUUUCGUUAAAUUAUAUACAAAAAACUUCAGAUACCCUACCUAGGUUUAUCGAAUAUUCACUUUAGUACCCUUUAAUUUUAACUUUGUCACUGAUUUAACGAAAAAAAUUAGUAAAAUGGAUAAUAAAAAGAGAAAAAUAAAACCACUGGGUACUAACUUAAUACACUUUAAACCAAAGGAUACUAAAGUGAGAAAAUACGAAACCACAUAGGCUAACUUAAUACAUUUUAAACCACACACAGGGUAAUAAAGUGAGAAAGUUUGAAACUACAAGGGAGGUAUUUGAAGUUUACUUUUUUUUU